rnacentral:rRNA from 1 species
UACGUAGGGUGCUAGCGUUGUCCGGAUUUAUUGGGCGUAAAGGGCUCGUAGGCGGCGUGUCGCGUCGGGGAGUGAAAGCCCGCUGCUUAACGGCGGGUUGGCUUCCGGUACGGGCAUCGCUGGAGUGCGGCAGGGGAGACUGGAAUUCCUGGUGUAGCGGUGGAAUGCGCAGAUAUCAAGAGGAACACCAGUGGCGAAGGCGAGUCCCUGGACAACUUCUGACGCUGAGGCACGAAAGCUAGGGGAGCAAACAGG